GAUGAACGCUGGCGGCGUGCCUAAUACAUGCAAGUCGAGCGAAUGGAUUGAGAGCUUGCUCUUAUGAAGUUAGCGGCGGACGGGUGAGUAACACGUGGGUAACCUGCCCAUAAGACUGGGAUAACUCCGGGAAACCGGGGCUAAUACCGGAUAACAUUUUGAACCGCAUGGUUCGAAAUUGAAAGGCGGCUUCGGCUGUCACUUAUGGAUGGACCCGCGUCGCAGUAGCUAGUUGGUGAGGUAACGGCUCACCAAGGCAACGAUGCGUAGCCGACCUGAGAGGGUGAUCGGCCACACUGGGACUGAGACACGGCCCAGACUCCUACGGGAGGCAGCAGUAGGGAAUCUUCCGCAAUGGACGAAAGUCCGACGGAGCAACGACGCGUGAGUGAUGAAGGCUUUCGGGUCGUAAAACUCUGUUGUUAGGGAAGAACAAGUGCUAGUUGAAUAAGCUGGCACCUUGACGGUACCUAACCAGAAAGCCACGGCUAACUACGUGCCAGCCGCCGCGGUAA
rnacentral:rRNA from 1 species